rnacentral:rRNA from 1 species
GAUGAACGCUGGCGGCGUGCCUAAUACAUGCAAGUCGAGCGAACAGGCGAGGAGCUUGCUCCUCUGACGUUAGCGGCGGACGGGUGAGUAACACGUGGAUAACCUACCUAUAAGACUGGGAUAACUUCGGGGAACCGGAGCUAAUACCGGAUAAUAUAUUGAACCGCAUGGUUCAAUAGUGAAAGACGGUUUUGCUGUCACUUAUAGAUGGAUCCGCGCCGCAUUAGCUAGUUGGUAAGGUAACGGCUUACCAAGGCAACGAUGCGUAGCCGACCUGAGAGGGUGAUCGGCCACACUGGAACUGAGACACGGUCCAGACUCCUACGGGAGGCAGCAGUAGGGAAUCUUCCGCAAUGGGCGAAAGCCUGACGGAGCAACGCCGCGUGAGUGAUGAAGGUCUUCGGAUCGUAAAACUCUGUUAUUAGGGAAGAACAAAUGUGUAAGUAACUAUGCACGUCUUGACGGUACCUAAUCAGAAAGCCACGGCUAACUACGU